rnacentral:rRNA from 1 species
GACGAACGCUGGCGGCGUGCUUAACACAUGCAAGUCGAACGAAGUGGCGAACGGGUGAGUAACGCGUAAUCAACCUGCCCUUCAGAGGGGGACAACAGUUGGAAACGACUGCUAAUACCGCAUACUGAAGGAGGGGAUUGUGUCUGAUUAGCUAGUUGGAGGGGUAACGGCCAACCAAGGCGAUGAUCAGUAGCGGGUCUGUGAGGAUGACCGGCUAAAUUGGAACUGAGCCACGGUCCAGCCUCCUACGGGAGGCAGCAGUGGGGAAUAUUGCACAAUGGGCGAAAGCCUGAUGCAGCCAUGCCGCGUGUAUGAAGAAGGCCUUCGGGUUGUAAAGUACUUUUGUCAGGGAAGCGGUACCUGAAGAAUAAGCACCGGCUAACUACGUGCCAGCCGCCGCGGUAAUAC